rnacentral:rRNA from 1 species
UGAGCAAUCUGCCUAGAUGUGGGGGAUAGCCGGCCCAACGGCCGGGUAAUACCGCAUACGCUCUCCUGGUGGCAUCACCGGGUGAGGAAACUUUCGAGGCGUCUAGAGGAGCUCGCGGCCUAUCAGCUAGUUGGUGAGGUAAUGGCUCACCAAGGCUUUGACGGGUAGCUGGUCUGGAGGGGAUGGCCAGCCACAUUGGGACUGAGAUACGGCCCAGACCUCGUACGGGAGG